AGCUCACAUCUGGUGCUACAACUGCAAUGAAGGAUUGUGCUCAACGUGUUCUGGUCAUCAUAAAACAUUCAAAUCAACUCGUGAUCACAAGACCAUUUGUAUUGAAAACUACAAACUUCCAAUUGGCUCUAUCAAAACAGAAUGCGACAAACAUAAUCAACUGUUCAACUUGUACUGUCCCAGUCAUUUAAUGCCUUGCUGUGAUGAAUGUAUUUCCACUCAUCACUCAAAUGCACCGGAAUAAAAAGUUAAACAGCUGUAGUGGAGAAAACCAAUAUUGAAAACUCAAAAGAAUCAAUAGUUAAAGAUAUAAACUCUAUCUUACUUUUCUUAAAUGAAAUG
rnacentral:lncRNA from 1 species